rnacentral:rRNA from 1 species
GACGAACGCUGGCGGCGUGCUUAACACAUGCAAGUCGAACGGUGAAGCGCCUUCCUUUUUGGUGGGUGUGGAUGAGUGGCGAACGGGUGAGUAACACGUGAGUAACCUGCCCCCUUCUUCUGGAUAACCGCAUGAAAGUGUGGCUAAUACGGGAUAUUCUGGGUCUGUCGCAUGAUGGGUCUGGGAAAGAUAUUGUUUCGGUGGGGGAUGGGCUCGCGGCCUAUCAGCUUGUUGGUGGGGUGAUGGCCUACCAAGGCGGUGGCGGGUAGCCGGCCUGAGAGGGUGGACGGUCACACUGGGACUGAGACACGGCCCAGACUCCUACGGGAGGCAGCAGUGGGGAAUAUUGCACAAUGGGCGCAAGCCUGAUGCAGCGACGCCGCGUGAGGGAUGGAGGCCUGCGGGUUGUGAACCUCUUUCGCCAGUGAAGCAGGCCUGCCUCGUUUGUGGGUGGGUUGACGGUAGCUGGAUAAGAAGCGCCGGCUAACUACGUG